rnacentral:rRNA from 1 species
UACAGAGGGUGCAAGCGUUGUUCGGAAUUAUUGGGCGUAAAGGGCGCGUAGGCGGUGCGGUAAGUCUGCGGUGAAAUCUCCCGGCUCAACUGGGAGGCUGCCGUGGAAACUGCCGUGCUGGAGUGUGGGAGAGGUGCGUGGAAUUCCUGGUGUAGCGGUGAAAUGCGUAGAUAUCAGGAGGAACACCUGUGGCGAAAGCGGCGCACUGGACCACAACUGACGCUGAGGCGCGAAAGCUAGGGGAGCAAACAGG